UGGAACCAAAGAAACAAUAUGGGAACCUGAGGAGUUGAUUCGUCAACAAUAUCCUCACUUGUUUUGAUAAGGUAAGUUAAAAUUCGAGCACGAAUUUUUUUAAGGGAGAGAGAUUUGUCAUAUCCCAAAAAUAGUGUUAGAAGAAAUAAUGAUAAAAUUUAGAUUUUAUUUUUUCAAGCAUAGGGUAAAGAACUUAGUAUGUCUUAAAAAUUAUUUUUUGUUAAGGAUAAAACAAGAAUAAGCUUGUUGUCAAUCAUAGGUCCCAAGUUUGAAACCCUUUGUACACCUUUCAACCAAAAUAUUUUAUUUUCUUAUUUUUAUCCCGUAAAAGUGCCGAAUUUUUCCAACUAUCCCAACCCAAAAAUUGUUUUUUCCUAAUUUAGUCCUUAAUUUAAACCAAUCCUAAUUCUACAUGAAUUCCUAAAACCUAUUUCAAUUAGGGAAAAAGAGUUUUAUAAAUAGUCAAUCUUUUAAAGCCCUAUAAAUUUUAUCUAGAGAUUUUUUCAAGAAAAACUCCUAUCGAAA
rnacentral:lncRNA from 1 species